ACAAUCCGCCCCUUAUAAGGUGCUCAACACGAGUGAAACGGGAAGCAGGUUCAAAUCCUGCGCUGCCCCUGCAACGGUAAGCAAGUGGAAACACACACCAAGCCACUGUCUGAAAUAAGACGGGAAGGCGGUGUGCUAAUCUGUCGGUUUUUUGAAAAACAGAUGGUGAUACUUGCAAGCCCGGAGACCGGCCUUAAACCUUUGCCACAG
rnacentral:ncRNA from 2 species